GACUCAUAGUCUCUUUCUGCUCCUGCAGAUCAAGAUGCAGAACUCUCAGCUCCUUCUCCAGCACCAUGUCUGCCUGCAUGCUGCCAUGACGAUAAUGGACUAAACCUCUGAAACUACAUCUUGAAGGCAUUUUUUGAAGCUCGAGAUAGCUGGGUGACUUGCUUUGAUCACUGAACUGUGUCUGAAGAGGAUAAUAUCAUUAUGAACAGUGAUAAAGGAAGACCCAGGGAUCCAGUCACACGCUCCUGCUCACACUGCUCCCAGAAUGGCAUAUCAGGACUCUGUGAACCAAUCUGCUUGGGUCCCUUACCAGUGAUGUGGUCAUCAAUAUCUUCUCUAUCUAUCUAAAUUUCUCCUGAAUCUGACAAGACAACACUCUCCCCACAUCCUGAGAAUGGCAGAGAGGAGCUGCACCAUGUGGCUAACAAGUUGUUCUUGGGGAGGCUGCACUCCUGGCUCCUCCUCAGCUUGCCUUCUCCUGCCUCAGUUUUUAGGGACCACCGCAGAGCCAACAGACUGAGGAGUUCUGCACUGCAGUGAAGGUUCCCACUUCUCUACACCCUGAACUUUAAGCAAUUAUUAAAUACUGUAAAAGAACUAUAGUCAGCUAAGUAA
rnacentral:lncRNA from 1 species